UCCUAGUCGUAAAUAGUAUGGAUAGAGUGAUGUAGAAUAAUAAAAUAUGUUAAAGUCACUGUAAAGAAAUGUGUAAUAAGGAUGAACCGAUUAUACACUGUAACAAGAUUCCGUAGUUUUCACAGCAUUAUUGCUGUAUAAUGAACAAAUGCCUACUGCAUAUCUGUAUACAGUAUGUUGCUGUAGAUUUUUACGCGAUCAUGGCCAAAAUGCUGUAGAAUACGAGACUCCAGUAAAUACAAUUAUCCUAUGAAUCAUAUUACAGUAAUUUUGAGCGGGAUCUAUCUGACUUCCACAGCCAAGCCACGCAGCCGGAAAGUUCUCCAGAGAUUGCAGCAGAGAAUGUUCCACUAGAGAUUACGACACUACAGGCUGUUUAAAAGACAACACCGACUCAGAUGUUGAAGCACAGAUUUCCCUGCCUAGCACUCCCAUGCUAAUCAUGCUUGGAGGCAGUCACGUCCCUUGAAUUUGUCCAACGAUAAACCCAGAACAGAGUAAAUGUGCUGCUAUAUUCCAGACCAGCAAGAGCACGGUAAAGAAGGUUCAAUGGAAAAAUCAGUCCCUGAAUCAACAUAUCGCCGCUCUAAUCCAGGACUUCAUUGAAUAUUACUGGCAGAAUACCUAGAGCAUGCCAGAAGAUGUCCACUCCACUCACACACACAUUGAUAGAUGCUGGGGUGAAGUUCUUGUUCUUGUGGUAGGACUUCACUACAACAUAUGUGCACAUUCUCUCUCUCUCUCUCUCUCUCUCUCUCUCUCUCUCUCUCUCUCUCUCUCUCUCUCUCUCUCACACACACAGGUUGGGUUUUGUUUACAAACUACACAUUGACUCUCUUACACACAUGUAUUUGCCCACAUGGAUUCUCUAUCCCUUCCUCUCUGGCUAGCACAUCACACAUGUACACACACAGAGACGUGGACACAAACACACACACUACUCUGUCCCACAUGCAUGUUCUCUCUCUACCUCCCUCGCACACACUUCUGUUUAACUACAACAUGCUCCUUUCUCUCAUAUUUUUCAGAUAUGUUGGGUUUUACUGUUUGUAUUCACUAAUACUAGUAGAGUAUAAUACAUUGAUAGACUAUGCUUUUCAUAUCUAUGUCUAUGUGUCAUAUCCUGUAUAUCUGAGAUUGUGAACGGUUGGAUGAAGUUUUACUUUGUUUUUUUGAAUUCUAACAGUUAAAUAAAGUUUUUCAACCUCA